rnacentral:rRNA from 1 species
UACGGGGGGGGGCAAGCGUUGUUCGGAAUUACUGGGCGUAAAGGGCUCGUAGGUGGCCAACUAAGUCAGACGUGAAAUCCCUCGGCUUAACCGGGGAACUGCGUCUGAUACUGGGUGGCUUGAGUUUGGGAGAGGGAUGCGGAAUUCCAGGUGUAGCGGUGAAAUGCGUAGAUAUCUGGAGGAACACCGGUGGCGAAGGCGGCAUCCUGGACCAACACUGACACUGAGGAGCGAAAGCCAGGGGAGCAAACGGG